UACUAUUUAUUGAAUCACCCUUUGCACUGGUAACUGAACUACGAGUCACACAAAAGAAGUGGUAAGACUUGCCUUUUGAGACCUUGAAGGCUAAAGGUACCUGAUAAAUCUCAUCUGUCUGUGUCCCAUAGCUGCACAGGCUGCCUGAAGUUACAUUUAGAGACUGAAAUCACUGCACCUUAAAAACAAAAGAUUGAGCUG